rnacentral:tRNA from 1 species
GCUGGCGUAGCUCAACUGGAGAGAGCAUCGGAUUUGUAAUCCGAAGGUUGUGGGUUCGAGUCCCACCGCCAGCUCCA